rnacentral:rRNA from 1 species
GCCAGCAGCCAUAUCACCCUGCAAGACAACUGGCAGCCCGUUGAAGCUUAGUAGGUGUGAGCCUGGUCAGUACCUGGAUGGGGGACCUCCUGGGAAAAACUAAGGUUGCUGCUGGAA